UUAGGGCACGACACCGGAGAGGGAGCCUGAGAAACGGCUACCACAUCCAAGGAUGGCAGCAGGCGCGCAAAUUACCCAAUCCCGACACGGGGAGGUAGUGACAAUAAAUAACAAUACGGGGUUCUUUCGGAUUUCGUAAUUGGAAUGAGUACAAUUUAAAUCUCUUAACGAGGAACAAUUGGAGGGCAAGUCUGGUGCCAGCAGCCGCGGUAAUUCCAGCUCCAAUAGCGUAUAUUAAAGUUGUUGCAGUUAAAAAGCUCGUAGUUGAAUUUCGGGGUCAGUAGAUUGGUCGUGCCACUGGUAUGUACUGGUCUUACUGGCUCCUCCUUCCUGAUGAACCGUAAUGCCAUUAAUUUGGUGUUGCGGGGAGACUGGACUGUUACUUUGAAAAAAUUAGAGUGUUUAAAGCAGGCUAACGCUUGAAUACAUUAGCAUGGAAUAAUGAAAUAGGACGUUCGAUCUUAUUUUGUUGGUUUCUAAGAUUGACGUAAUGAUUAAUAGGGAUAGUUGGGGGCAUUAGUAUUCAAUUGUCAGAGGUGAAAUUCUUGGAUUUAUUGAAGACUAACUACUGCGAAAGCAUUUGCCAAGGAUGUUUUCAUUAAUCAAGAACGAAAGUUAGGGAUCGAAGACGAUCAGAUACCGUCGUAGUCUUAACCAUAAACUAUGCCGACUAGGGAUCGGAUGAUGUUAAUUUUUUUAAUGACUCAUUCGGCGCCUUUCG
rnacentral:rRNA from 1 species